UUUAUGGGCUCAGAAGUGGGGUGAUCUUCCACCGACCCUGCGAAAUGGCGCAAGUAUUGGUCUGACCAAAAAAGGCAUGCCAGAGAGAGGGAGGUGCUGCGAAGGUCAACGCUGGAGAAAAGUGGACGCAAUGGGCUUGGGCAUUUAAAGGAAGCGUUCGAUUUCGAAAAAAGGGCGCUUCAACUCAUGGUCCCAGCAGUCGUCACAGAAAACAACAAGAAAUGCUAAAUCUGACGAGAAGGCGACUUAAUGGGUAUAGUAUAGGCCCAGCUAAGUUUAAAAUACACAAUGAACCAUAAUUGUGCAUACGGCCAUAAAAAGGGGGUUUAACUUUACAGAAUGCCUCGCUUCACGGCCACCCGCACUAAGACCGAGAAACGGGUCGAUCAUUUUAAGAUUCCCUGUCGGUUGUGCGGUAACAACCACGGAGUACGACUCUGCCCCAUAUACCGAGGGAAAUCCGCCGAGGAAAGGUUGCGGGCGAUUUUGAUACAUCGGUACUGUCCCAACUGUUUGUCGCCAUUCCAUCGGAUAGAAAUAUGUGGAAGCAAUGACCGAUGCCACCGCUGCGACGAAAAGCACCAUACCCCCCUGCAUAUUGAAGACUAGGGCGAUCCAAGGGAAACGACGGCUCUGACGGAGCGAUUUCGCUCCACGUGUCCGACCAAACGACGUCAUGGGCGAAGCAGGUAGAGGAAGAAGAGGUGGAAAGACGGGAAGAGAUAAUCCCUCCACCACCAGACGGCGGCUUGAAAACCCGCAAUUUUCGACCGCCGCUACAGCACGAACUUGAAGCAGACAGUCCCAUGCCAGCAGUGCUGUCACACACACAGCCAACGGGCGGUCAACGAGAUGACGCGGAAACUAGUCCUUUUCGCUCAUAUCGGCGCGGAACCAAUUCUGGCCACCGAGAUGACGCGGAAACUCUUCCUUUUCGCUCAUUUUGGCGCACGCGUAAUUGCAGCCAGCGUGAUGGCGCGGAAACUCGUCCUUUUCGCUCGUCGCGCUGGCAAGCAAUAAGGGCCGCACGACACCGACGUGGCGACCGUUCCUCCCUCACCAUCCAACGCAUUCCAUCGCGUGGAUUCCGGACAGGCAAGUUAAAAACAAUCGCGGUUCCAGCACCAAUAAUGCGUUCAUUCGUAGCCAUCGCCCCAACCACAAUUGUACGGAUCGAGUCAGGCGGCCGACUUCAUCUGGUGCGGGCGUUGAUUGACUCUUGCGCCCCCAGCAGUACCAUCGACAGGGACCUAGCACGGGAGCUUCAGCUCGAAGCCAGCAACGCCCGCGCGAAAACAUGUUCCCCCGUGCUGCGAGGGAAGUACGGGGUCGCGGAACGGGUAAAUACUCAGGCCAGGCUAGUUACGCGAUACAACCGACUCAGCCCCGCGGCUAACAUCGACCCAACGAUAGCGACGCCGUUUCAAUUUAUGCGUCUGGCGGAUCCACAGUUCUAUCGGGCCACCCCCACUCGACUAACACUUGGCGUUGAUGUGUACGCCCAGGU